rnacentral:rRNA from 1 species
ACGGGUGAGUAACACGUGAGCAACCUGCCCUUCAGUGGGGGACAACAGUUGGAAACGACUGCUAAUACCGCAUAAGACCACAGUACCGCAUGGUACCGUGAUCAAAGGAUUUAUUCGCUGAAGGAUGGACUCGCGCCUGAUUAGCUAGAUGGUGAGGUAACGGCCCACCAUGGCAACGAUCAGUAGCCGGACUGAGAGGUUGAUCGGCCACAUUGGGACUGAGACACGGCCCAGACUCCUACGGGAGGCAGCAGUGGGGGAUAUUGCACAAUGGAGGAAACUCUGAUGCAGCGACGCCGCGUGAGGGAAGAAGGUUUUCGGAUUGUAAACCUCUGUCUUCGGGGACGAAACAAAUGACGGUACUCGAGGAGGAAGCCACGGCUAACUAC